rnacentral:rRNA from 1 species
UACGAAGGGGGCUAGCGUUGCUCGGAAUCACUGGGCGUAAAGCGCACGUAGGCGGAUUGCUAAGUCAGGGGUGAAAUCCUGGAGCUCAACUCCAGAACUGCCCUUGAUACUGGCGGUCUCGAGUCCGGGAGAGGUGAGUGGAACUGCGAGUGUAGAGGUGAAAUUCGUAGAUAUUCGCAAGAACACCAGUGGCGAAGGCGACUACCUGGCCUGUUCUUGACGCUGAGGCGCGAAAGCUAGGGGAGCAAACGGG